AGGCCUGGGUGUAGUAUAAAUGAGCACAGGAGGGCUAGGCUCCAGAAAGAGCUCCGAGUUGAGAACUGUUCCAUGAAGCAAAGGAGCUUAAGAAAAACACGCCAUCUUCUGAAAGCAUUUGGUUCAGCUUAGGCUCAUCUGCAAAGCAUUUUUUGACUCACUAGAGUUAUGAGAAAGUGUGAGGGAAAGGGGCUGUGUGAUCCUGGGAUCAAAAGUUCAGGGCAUCAUGAAGGGAUGAAUAUGAAUGAAUGCUAGAAGGAGGAUCAGGGAUAGUGAUUGACUGUCUGUGGUGAUAAUGGUAGGGAAAGAGUUAACUGGCAUAUAGGAAUAGUGCAAAAUUGUAGAAAUGGUUGCACUGUGGCAAAAGCUUGUGUGGCCAGCUUCAUCCAAGUGCCACAUAACAGCUGUUACUCUGCAUGUCUGGCUGACUCAUUUCCUCCAGACUGCAUUAAACAGCCCUUGGCCUGUGCUUCCUUUGCUAAGCAGCAAGAGUAUUUAUGUGGCAGCUUUCAGACUCAUCUCCUGCAGCAGGAACAGCCUCUGGGCUGUGUCCCUGUUCUGAGGGAGUGCUUCCCAUCCCAGCAGCAGCUCCUGCACCAGACAAAGAGCCAGCCACGGUCCCAUGGGCUCCCCUAUGCUUAGGAAUCUGCACUGAGGCGAGACGAAAUGAGGGGGAGUGAGAGAGCAGUGUUGUGGAGCUUAUCUGUUCAUCAAUAUGAAAUCACCACAUCCUCACGCACCAGAAUCCUCCACAGACGGGAGAAGAUGGCUAUUGUUUCACCUCCUGCUGCUUCCAGGGAAUUCUACAGCAGUUGCUGGGAUCACUGUAACUGCUGGUGUCUAUGGAAACAAACCCGCACAGUGAAUGCCAACAGGCCUGGCUGUUUCAAUAGAUGCACCCUGCCGGACAGAGGGUAAUUGCUCUCUUUAACUACCCAGUGUGGGGAGCUACAGAUAAGACAGAGCCAAACUCUUCUGGAGGUGCACAGGAGAAGGAGAAGACAAUGCUUACAUAUGCUUGGUUGGAAAUUAUGGUUGCGAGUGAAUUAUUGCACGUGGAAAUUAUGGCUAAAUUUAACAAAAAUGUCCAUGCAGGGAAAGCAGCUGAGCACUGGAGCAGACUGUGAAAUUUCAGUCCCUGUAGAGGAGUUUUGAAACUCAGCUGGACAAGACCCUGAACAGCCUCAUCUGGUGGAGCCCUGCUCUGUGCAAGAGAUUGAACUUGAAGCCUCCCUUCCAACUUGAGUUACUGUAUAACCGUGAUAUUAACAAAGGGAAAACUAAUUGCAGGAAUGUGAAAUAAUGCAGCAAGGGACACUGCAACAGAAAAUGGGUUCCUGUAAGGAUGACACAUUGAUCAGCACAGAUUUCAUUAUUGAGGGAAACGUAAGUUCUCUGAAAUGACUAGAAUGAACUCUGUGAAGACUUAGGGCUCCUGAAACUGUGCAGUAUGUACCAGGUGGGAUUCUCUGAGGUUCUUUGGAAUCAAUUGCUAGAAUUUGGACUGAGGCAUCUCUCCUGCAUUUGGAGACAUCUUAAAUACCUUGGAAUAUGUUUGGGAAUCAUUACUCAUGCAACAACUUGACUGAAGCAACUAUGUUUUGAAAAACCAUCAGUCUUCCCAAUCAUACUGGCUUUUGAGUAACCUUUUCCAGGAAAAAUAUUUCAUGUGAAAGCACCUGUCCCAUUAUUUACUACUUUAAGACAGUUAUCUUAGGUUGACUGAUUUUUUUUUCAUUUUUUUCCCUUCUUUUUCUCAAACAUGUCAUUCUCCUGAAGAAUGUGUCUGUGGAAAAUUUGAGCUUGCAAACAUAAUAUCUCCUUCUCUACCAUUUGUUUUCUUCCUUAAAGUAACACAAAAGCCAAUGUCAUCUUGUCUGAGGGACAAAACCUUCUGGACUCAUAUUGUAAGCCAAGCCCUUUGGAAAAAUUUGGUAUUUGGGCAUCAGUUCUGUCCUCUGUGUCAAAAAGUCACAUACAUGGAUGUUUCUGUGUCUCUGAAAGAUUUGGGCCUUUACAGAUUUAUUUUUUUUCCCAGAAAGUCUUUAUUUUAGUUGCUUUCUUAUUCAUUAUGAUAGUUAGGAUAUAGAUUCAGAAGGACAGUGUAGGCAUCUUAAAUUUCCUAGGCCCUAGUCUGCUGAAGCCUAGGUUACAGCCAGGCUAAUGUCCUCAUAAAGACUACCUUACAGUAUAGAAGUAAAUUUUACUUCACAGCCUGCUGACUUUUGUUCUCUAAGAUGAAUUGUGAGCACCCACAACUAAAAGUGGCCUUCAGGAUGAGUCCAGAGCAAAAUUUGACCUCUGUCUACAGUGUGUGGCUCUCAGAGUUGUCUUUUAGGAUCAUUCUGAAAUGCUUUAAGUAAUGGCCAAAAUCUGAUCGAAGUUGAGAAAGUUUUAUGACUAGCUUUAAGAGGCUGAGUAAUGGUAGGAAAUCAUUUUGAGGAUCCCACUCACUUGUAUUUUGGGACCAACUAUUACCGGUGGAUCGAAGCAGAAAGCAAUUAGGGAUAUUUUGAAAAGCUGAGAAUAAAUUCUUUCUUCAACCUUGUUCAUGUGCCUGCUGAUCUACUCAGUCACAGACAAAAUCUAUACAGAUGUCCAUCGAAAGCAGACUUUUAAAUAAAUUCAUUUGGAUUGGUAACCGUCCCAACAUGUGGGUAAUUAAUGAUUAUUUCAUCAUCCAGUUGGAGAAACAGAAUAUGAACUGUGUUACUGUGGUAGCUAAUCACACUGUUAGACUACACAUUUGAGAACAUACAUUGGGAAAAACACUCUUUACUUGUCAUUUGUGGCCCAAACAAUCCUCUUUUUUCCUGUUUAAAAAAAGGAAAGCCCUUAAUUUUAACAUAAAUAUGCCAACUUAAAAGCCAACAUUACCCUUCUAAAGUCUACCCCACAUCACAUCUGGUAGGACUGAACAUAAUUAAUUGCAAGAGGAAUGUAAAGCAAUGGCAUGCCAAAAGCUUUAAUGUAAUUCCGAAUCAUGACUUAUGCCAAUCUCUCAUUCUCUGCCAGUAUGAACUGGCAUAUCCUGUGGAUGGCAUUUGAUGUACUUUGGCACUUAGAAGAAACUGUCAGUACAUUUUGGAGAUAAAAAUGGGAAAACAGUUGCACAGCUCCUAAUGGAAUUUACCAAUUCCAGGAUAGCACUUGCUAAGGGUUGUUUGACAACAAAAAUCAGUGUGCA